CUUGGCUCUCGGAGGCGAUGAAGGACGUGAUAAGCUGCGAUAAGCUUCGGGUAGGUGCAAAUGACCUUUGAUCCGAAGAUUUCCGAAUGGGACAACCCGGCAUUCUGAAGGAAUGUCAUCCAACUUGGUUGGAGGCUAACGCAGGGAACUGAAACAUCUUAGUACCUGCAGGAAAAGAAAAUAAAUAAUGAUUCCCCUAGUAGUGGCGAGCGAACGGGGAUUAGCCCAAACCACUCAUGUUACGGCAUGUGUGGGGGUUGUAGGACCACGCUCUCGCAAGACAGUUAUUGAGAAGAAACGACUGGAAAGUCGUGCCAUAGACGGUGAUAGCCCGGUAUUCUAAGGUAACCGAAGCGUAGUGGUAUCCUGAGUAGCGCGGAGCACGAGGAAUUCUGCGUGAAUCAGCCGGGACCAUCCGGUAAGGCUAAAUACUCCCGAGAGACCGAUAGCGAACCAGUACUGUGAAGGAAAGGUGAAAAGCACUUCGAAUAGAAGAGUGAAAUAGUCCCUGAAACCAUGCGCCUACAAGCGGUCGGAGCAGCUU
rnacentral:rRNA from 1 species